GCCUGGGUGGCUCAGUCGGUUGAGUGUCUGACUUCGGCUCAGGUCAAGAUCUCAUGGUUCGUGAGUUUGAGUCCCGCAUCGGGUA
rnacentral:tRNA from 1 species